CCUACGGGUGACUGCAGUAGGGAAUAUUGCUCAAUGGGGGAAACCCUGAAGCAGCAACGCCGCGUGGGGGAUGAAGGUUUUAGGAUUGUAAACUCCUUUUGUGAGAGAAGAUAAUGCCGGUUUCUCACGAAUAAGCACCGGCCAACACCGUGCCAGCAGCCGCGGUAAUACGGAGGGUGCAAGCGUUACUCGGAAUCACUGGGCGUAAAGCGUGCGCAGGCGGGCUGGUAAGUCAGAUGUGAAAUCCUGUGGCUUAACUACAGAACUGCAUUUGAAACUAUGAGUCUAGAGUGUGGGAGAGGUAGGUGGAAUUCUUGGUGUAGGGGUAAAAUCCGUAGAUAUCAAGAGGAAUACUCAUGGCGAAGGCGACCAACUGGAACAUUACUGACGCUGAGGAGCGAAAGCGUGGGGAGCAAACAGGAUUAGAUACCCCUGUAGUC
rnacentral:rRNA from 1 species